AGGAGUCCUGUGGCAGGAGCAUGGGCAGCGCCCCCAUCCCACUGCAGACAGGACUGGGCACCCCUUCCUUCUUCUGCUCCAGUGGGUGAGGUGUGCCAGCAGGGGGGCCGGCUCUCCACAGCCCCUCCCUGACCGCCAAGCCACUUCCCCUGCUGGGAAGGGAGAGGAGGGGAGCUGUCUCUGCUGUCCCCUUGCACUGCGUAACACACAGCGCACCACAGCACACACAGUAUACACAUGACCCACAAUACACACAACACACAACACAUACACACAACAUAAACAUACACAAAGCACACAAACACACAACACAUGCACACACUAAACACAACAUACAACACACACAACACAUAUAUACAGGCACAACACAUACAUACACACAAACGCAUAUUCUCAACACAACACACACACAUACAAUACACCACACACAACACACAACACAACACACACAUGCACAUACUAUAGACAAAACCCACAGACUCCCCAUCUGGUCCAUGCCCAGGAGCUACUCCACGGAGGGAGGCAGCAGGCUGGGAGAGCAGAGGGAGGGGCUGCCCUCCAUCCGCUACCCCCCAACCCCCG
rnacentral:lncRNA from 10 species